CGCAAUCUUAAAAAAUAAUCGACGACAAUAGAAAAUAAAAAAAUCCUGUAUAAAAUCGAGAGAUUGCUCGUUAAAACUGACGUUAUGCGCAUGCGUAGAAAUCGUCUUCGACUAUUCGAGAAUUCGCGCCGAACACCAUUACUACGCAGUUUGUCGAGAAGUACGGUGUUUCUUUCAAGUAGUCAAUGUCUUCGUACGAAUGAUAGGACUUAACUUGAGGAAAGAGAAACAGCGUCACAUUAAAGAAAAUCGUAGAAAAAUGGAAGGAACAAUGACUGAAUUCGAAGAGAACGUAUCCUUCGAUGCCGACGACCCGGACUUUGCUCCUAAGGUUACGCGUAUCGUAGUUACACAGGCCGUCCUUCGUAGCAUGCAUUUUACCGACAUUACCUUCGGAGUCGACAAACUCGCAACGUAUCAAAACAACAUGUCUGUCACUUCGGUCCAACCUGCUUCUGAAAGUCUUUCACGUCAUGGGAGUAAUGUGUCCCUCUCUUGUCACAGUUUAUGCGAUAGUGUAGACGAUGGUCUUCAAGGUUCUCAUCCUCAAUAUCAAGAUACGAUUCUAACCAUCGAAGAGUUACGUGCUCAAUUGAACUCAUGCUUUACAUUACAUUUCGCAAUGAGUGUGUGUGUGUUGAAUGUAAACACCUCAUAUAGUCCCUUCUGUCAAAAUACAGUGGUGUGGGGUCUCUUGGAGCGAAGAACAUGUCUCUCUUGAUUGUAGUGAAUGUGGUGGUUAUUCUCUUCAACGACCUUGUCCACUUUGUGAUGGACGUUGUCACACGGCAUGGAAACGUGAUCUCACCAUGUCUCAUGCAAGUGGUAAAGCAAGAUGGAUCGGUGAAUGUGCUCUCAGUUGUGGACCUUCUCUCGAAGAAUCUUUGGUACCAGCUUUGGAAAAGCUAAGGGCAACCUCGUGAAUUUAUCGUCAACAUUAUCAUCGCUAUCAUAAUCGUCAUCGUCAUUAUCGUUACAUUGUCGAUAUUUUCGAGCAAUGUCAUCGUCGAGUCGGGCAACAACGCAACAACCAUUGCACAAGACUUAAUAAUCCAUUUCACUAAAUCCCGUUUAGUGUUUCUCAUCAUCCAAUGAUCAUCAUCAUCAUCGGUACGACAUGAGAUGUGUGAAUGUGGAUUAUUUUUUAGAUAUAUUGAGAAAGGGAGAGAGAAAAAAAAAGAGACAGAAUAUUCGUACAAACUUGAACAAAAAAAAAUGAUUCAAAAAUUUACAGAUACACAUUUCUAAACAAAAUCAAAAGAAGAAAAAAGUAUUGUUGUUAAAGCAGAAGAAGAAUCGUUUUCAAUCUACUGUACUUGAGAAUCCUUGCUGAUCGUACUACUUGGAUAGAAUUAGAAAAAUAGUUUUCAAAAAUCACAAAAUCUCUCGAAUGUCAUAUUAGAAAUCGACUAAGAACAAAUUAUCUCCAUUAAGUUAAAAAAAAAGCCGACGUUUUACUAACCAAAAUAUAAUUGGACUUGCAUAUAUCAUAGAUAGAGAAGAAAUAUAUGUGUGUGUGUGUGUGUGUAUAUAUAUAUAUAUACAUAUAUAUGUAUAUAUAUUAUAUCACUGAAGAGAUAAAUUUCAAAAAGAGCGAGAGGAAAAGAUAUUUUUCUCGACACAAAUAUUGAGCUAAUAAACAUCUCGAUUUUAAAAUUUAAUUAAACAAUUAAAAACAGAAAAAAGCAAAAAUAAGUAAAAAAAGAAUGUGUGUGUGCAUGCGUAUACAGUUUGAAAGGUUGAAAUAAUUAAAUUUCUUUUUUUUUUUUUCUUUUUUUUCCUUUUUUUCUCUUUCUUUUUCUAUAUAUUCAUUAAACUUUAUUCGAGUUUGUAAUUAAGACGGCAAAGAAAAUAUAAGACUUUGGGCAUACAAUUAAAUAAAUAAAAAAAAAAUAAAUAAAAAAAAAAAAAAAAAAAA